rnacentral:rRNA from 1 species
AGAGUUUGAUCAUCGCUCAGAGCGAACGCUGGCGGCAGGCUUAACACAUGCAAGUCGAACCCACCUUUACGGGGUGAGUGGCAGACGGGUGAGUAACACGUGGGAACGUACCCUUCGGUUCGGGAUAACUCAGGGAAACUUGAGCUAAUACCGGAUACGCCCUUUGGGGGAUAGGUUUACUGCCGAAGGAUCGGCCCGCGUCUGAUUAGCUAGUUGGUGGGGUAAUGGCCUACCAAGGCGACGAUCAGUAGCUGGUCUGAGGGGAUGAUCAGCCACACUGGGACUGAGACACGGCCCAGACUCCUACGGGAGGCAGCAGUGGAAUAUUGGACAAUGGGCGCAAGCCUGAUCCAGCCAUGCGGCGUGAGUGAUGAAGGCCUUAGGGUUGUAAAGCUCCUUCGACGGGGACGAUAAUGACGGUACCCGUAGAAGAAGCCCCGGCUAACUUCGUGCCAGCAGCCGCGGUAAUACGAAGGGGGCUAGCGUUGCUCGGAAUCACUGGGCGUAAAGGGCGCGUAGGCGGCCAUUCAAGUCAGGGGUGAAAGCCCG